GAGAAGGGAAUUUCAACAAUGUAACAUGUCUACAAUAUCUAUUCAUGUGACCCGUGGACUUCCCUUUGUCAUCCUAUGCCUGAGAAUAUAUGAAGGGGGCUGGGAAGGCAAAGGGACGUUCAAUUGUCAUCACUGGCAUCUUUUUUGA
ensembl:miRNA microRNA 204